GUAACGUGGGAUCACGGCAUGCCCGCUUUGGACGGAUGACUUGGGAAAAAGGGGCAAAGGUGUAAGAGCUGCUCAGGGAAGCAGGGCACGUCACUCCCCUGUUUCCCUCUGCUACCCGAGGAAAUGGUGUUGCCCCCCGCGACGUGAAGGUCGGGUGAGAGAGCAGGUGGCACUGGGAGCGAGUGUUCGCCCCUAGACGAGAGGCAGCUGCAAAUCGCCUGGUCCCCGGCAGCCCAGCUGUUGGAUGUGUAAAUAUUGGCGUUGUUCACAUAAAUAUUACAGAUUGUGGCAGUGAGGUUCCAGCUCCGGUGAGAAAACCCAGCCCUGCGGCCUCUGAGGAAAAAGCUGAGCUUGGCUGUGCUGCUUUGCUGCUUUUCUUCCUUGUAGGGGCCAGGCCCUGCUGCGGCACACCAGCGGGAGAGGCCUCGCCAAAGCCACGUCCAAAGCCGGUCCUUGCCCACCCGUGGGCUGCAGCCUGCGCAGUGGUGCUCAGGGUGCGCAGCGGCACAAGUGGGGCAGCCCACGGCCCCGCUCGGCGUGGGGCACCCCAGAUGCGCCCGUGGCUUGGCCGGAGAGGGCGGUUUCAAAAUGCUCAGGAGCCCAGGAUGCAAGGGCAGGAACCUCUCCCGAUCGCCACAACCUUUCAAAGAUAAUCAAGAAUGGCCUUGCAGUGCACUGACCGGUCUUGAUAGAGCUGUGUAGUUAUCUGCUAGCCACUGUGGCUUCCACAUGCGCCCGCUGCCAGCCCCACUGUCCUGUCACCACCACAGCCAGAAUGACGCAUGGGAUUCUGGAUGGCGUCUGCUACUCACCUCUACGCUGACAUUGGAAGAAUCAGCUUUUUUCCAGCUAACGAGCCUUCUCAAGAUGUCCCCUGUGUCCUCCUUCCCCACCAGAAGAAAACCAAAUCGUGGACUGUGUCUUUCCACCCUUGUACAGGCUACAGAACGGGAUGAGCUGCCACAAUACCCUUAUCUCAAAGACCAGAUACCUGAGGGCUGCCUGACUGGCCAUGACUGCCUGUGUUGUGCACGGACGUGGCGCAGUUGUUGGAGCGCUGACAGCGAGAGCGCUGCUGCUCGCAAAAUCCGCGUGCUCCAAUUCAGGUCUUAUCAUUGUUCCUGGGGAAAAGUUACUGUGCGUGUGCCGCUCUCCCAGAUGUAAUUCCCUAACAUAAGUAUCCCAGUCUGGAAUUGAAGUUGGAGUGAAAAGAAGUACAAUUUCGCUCUGUGAAGAGAACCUUCAUUCACUUGCCUGCAAUGCCAGUGAAAUGGUACAACUUUCCCUUCCUCUUCUGCAAUUCACAAAUGGCUAAAAUGACUUCUCUGACAGCGACGUUCCUUUAUUAACUGCUUAGUGUCUGCACUCGCCGCCUCAGACUGCAGCAAUGCUUCUCUAAGUGCCAGGGUUGCGUUAGAGCGUUAGUACUUCGGUGUGGAUGUACCCAGAGGAGCUGGAUGAAUAACUUGUGAUGCGUAAUUUAUUCAAUGAAUGUAGUCCCUUUUUCUGUGCUCGCAAGAACUCUGUUGAAGAGGCAGUCGGGGGGUUGUUGCGCUUAGUUGUUCGAACGCCUUUUAAGCGAAUGCUGUACCGCAUAUAAUACACACAGGUAUAUUUCACAGCGUAUGAAAUUGCUCGUGAAUGUUUUUUGCCGAGAAUUGCUUCCAGUAUUCACAGUUCUUAGCGUGUUUGGCGGGUGCCUACGCCAGGCGGCACGUACGUGCGGCCUGUCGAGGCAACCGUCACACAAGUGGUGGUGUCUGGCAGAAGAUGCUUGCAGGCAGGCUUCAUCACCUCGGACAGCCCUGCCGGGGACCG
ensembl:lncRNA